GGCAGCACUUUCUUCCUACAGCCCAGGCCAAUGAUCCCGGGGACUGUCAGUUCACAAGUAUCCAGAAGACUCCAAAUGAACCGCAGUUGGAAUUCAUCCUUGCUGCAGCUAUCUGAAUAAUGGGAUCAGGCCUGGUGAUUGGAUGCUGCUGAACAUCUACAUGCAAGGAUCUCGUGGCUCCUGUCCGUGAUCGUAAACUGAAUACACUGGUGCAGAUCUCCGUAAUCCACCCCGUGGAGCAGAGUCUGACAAGAUACUCCAGCACCGAAAUUGUGGAGGGAACAAGGGACCCACUGUUUUUGACUGGUGUCACAUUCCCAUCUGAGUAUCCCAUCUAUGAGGAGACCAAAAUAAAACUAACAGUCUAUGAUGUCAAGGAUAAGUCUCAUGACACCAUAGCUAACUCAUCCAGAAUUUGAGUAUAAGUGGAUCUUGAGGUCCUCAGAGCUGAGACAACUUGAGACAACUUGCUCAGUCACCUGUUCAAAUGUCUGCAGGAUGGUUGGCCAAGUGCAAGACAUCACAUGAGCUUCUUGACAGCUGCACGAUGGUAACUUAAUGAGACACAACAGUUUUCUUGUGAAAUAGCUGGACAUGCAGAGAGGUCACAUGAAUAAUAAGCUCACACCUGUGUUCCCGCCACCCGGAUAUUAUUCAAAGCACAAAACAUCAUAAAUAAAGUCAAGGUCCUCUAU
rnacentral:lncRNA from 10 species